AGAUCCCCAUGGUGCCCAGCACUGGGCUCCAACCACCCCCAAGGAUGCUGUGUCCCCUGGGAACUUUGACACCCGGGGACCUGAGGGGCCC
ensembl:snoRNA